rnacentral:rRNA from 1 species
UACGUAGGGAGCAAGCGUUGUCCGGAAUCAUUGGGCGUAAAGCGCGCGUAGGUGGCCCCAUAAGUCCGCUGUGAAAGUCAAAGGCUCAACCUUUGAAAGCCGGUGGAUACUGUGGGACUAGAGUACGGAAGAGGCGAGUGGAAUUCCUGGUGUAGCGGUGGAAUGCGCAGAUAGUCAGGAGGAACACCAAUAGCGAAGGCAGCUCGCUGGGACGUUACUGACACUGAGGCGCGAAAGCGUGGGGAGCGAACAGG